GGGGGUAUAACUCAGUUGUAGAGCAUUCGACUGCAGAUCGAAAUGUCCCCG
rfam:Daphnia pulex DAPPTscaffold_65_Cont3335, whole genome shotgun sequence.